UGCUGCCUCUCAUCACACCACGCUCAAAGCCAGAGCCAGAGAUCACUUCUCCAGAAGCACCUGGCAGCGCUCAGCCACUCUUUUUUGUUCCAUUUCUUUGUUCCUUCUUAUUUAUUUAUGUAGAUCUCUCAUAUGUGUUCUGUUGACAACUUCUUCCAUGGUGUAUGGCUGGUACUCCUCUACACACACAGCACUCCUAUUUAUACUGUGUGUGUAUAAACUUACGAGUGAACAGAUAUAAAUGUGCAGUUUUCACUAUAUUCAGACAGUUUAUUCCCAACCUCCAGAACAAGCAUUUUUUUCUACUUUGUCUUAAAAGCUUUUUAGCUGAGAUAGCUAUUGCCUCAAACUAUAACAUGGAGAAAACCUGCAAAGUCAUCUUUGAAACUGUAGCAGCUCAGCCACUGCAUGCCAAAAUGAGCAAGGAAUCAGCUCUGCUCUUUUUUGCAGUUAGACAAAGAGUCUCUCUAUAGUGGAGAGGUCAAAACCAGACACUGCAGAGCACCUGAACAAUUUACAAAUAGCUCCUCAUGUGUACUUCCAGCAGUAGCACAACCGCUGGUUUCCAAACACCAGCAGAGAGAGCCCACAGCUCUCCCUUGCUCAACUUUCACCACAGUGCACAGCCCACCUCUCGCCCCAAGCGUGGAUCCCUCUUCACACUUCAGUCACCAUUCUCCAAGCGUGAAGUGCCCUCUUCUUUAGUAAGUUCAAGUGGCCUAACACUGGCCCCAAUGCAGUGUGUCACUACUGGCUUUGUAGAAAAGAGAUUUAUUGCAUCGGGAAAAAAAGCAAAUGAAAAAGACAAAUUUUACUGCCUUAUAGAGGAGAAGAGUCCCUGAGCACAAGUAAAGCUGAUGGGAUUCAUUUGUUUAACUGAGGCCGUAACACAGUGCAGUGCCAGGGGACUGCAAAUCACCAAAGGUUCCAGCCCCCCUAAACUUCACACUAUGUUAAGAUGUAUUUGGUUGCUCAGUAGGAUGUUUACAAAAGAAAAUACGCAGGAAGAGGAGCAGCUCUGAUGUAUGUGAAGUUCCAAUGCAAUCAGGUUUUUCCAAAAUUCUAAUGUACAGAUGUACAAGUGACAAAAUCACUCUGGAUCUUCAUUGUAAGAGUACAAAAUGUUUUUCUCUUGGUCAAAAUUGUUCUUCUAGUUACAUUCUUCAGUGAAUGCAGAAAAAGUCGUCUCUAUUUUUCUGCUUUCUGCUUAAACACCUUCUUUUGCAGAAGACACUUGCACAUGAGCUAGACACUCAUGCCAGCCUUUGUGGACAGAAUACCUCUGAUGAUACUGUUAGUGACACCGAGUGAAAAAGCAAAAUGCUACAAUAAAUUUAAGAAAAAAUAACUAAGAAAACUAAAAGAAAACGACAACAAAAGAAAAAAAAACAGAGGAGGGAGGAGGAAGAAAAUAAAAGAAUGAGCAACUGAACAAGAGGGCACUGGAAAGCAAUCAGAUACGUACCUCCUAAUGCAGAAUAAGCAGAGACAGCCAGUCACAGAACAGAAAGGUGAUAGGUCAUAGGCCAUAAGGAAAACAAGAAGGCACAUUUAAACCACUCAUUAAAAAAUCAUAGCCAAAACCAAACCAAGAGAAACUCACAAAUAAUAUGGAAAAAUAAAGACACACAAAAAUAACUCUUUGACAAGAAAUCCUGUUUUUGCACACAGAAAACUGAGCUGAAAUUUCACAUGAGUUCUGUGCAGUGACUACACGGAGGUUUGGCUGUUAUCUAUCCAUCACGGCACCACACCGAGUUUCCUUUCUGUUGCUGAGUUUUCAGUUCUCAGAUACCAGAAACAAAACUCCAAAGUCUGAAACAAGAUUGCUGGUUUGUAUACGUGAAAUAAGGAGUAACAACCUUCAGUUGUAAAGGAGUUACUUAUUGUGGCUUACACAUUUUUAAAUGUAAAUUGCAGCGUGAACCGUAUUACAUUGAUAAGGAAGCAGCUGGACACAGAAGCAGCAGACACACAAACAACGAACAGACACAGCAGCCAGGCUGCUCUCAGAACUAACCUAAUUUCAGCAGCCAACCUUCUCUAUCUGGAUUAAAAAAUGUAUGCGUUAGAUCAUUUCCAUCAUCCUCUGGAAUUUUAAAUGGCUCAUUCUUAAUACUUUCAUAUAAAUUCUAGAAGAAUAAAAAGAGGAAAAAGACCUCGUUAGUAAUGUCCAUCAGAAAGUACAACAAUGUCCUACUGCUUCUCAGUUUCUUUGUACAAAAAGCAAAGGAAAUACUGCCAAAAAUUUCUGGACCAUCCAUUCCCAAUUGUUGUUCACUUCUCUGAUUAAGUUUGCUUUUAAAUUACUUUCUCUAUAAACUCUCUCUCUAGAUUUUAUAAGUACUUCCCAACAAACACAUUUUUAUUUCAGAACUCAGUAUUUCAGAAGUUUCAGCUUCUCAAAUCGUAAUUUAGCAUAACUGUUGCCAAACAAAUCUGGGUUUUUAGAAAAUACUUCAGAUCAUCACAUUGUGUUAGAGAAGUAAACAGCUUUACUGUUAGCUCAGGGGAGAGGAGGAAACUCCACACCACACGUGGGAAGAAUAGAAAAGCAGUAACAAAACAGUCAUUUUUUCAUUAUUAUUUAACUAUUUUUCCUACUUUCUCUGACUUAUCUAGAAAUAGAAUUCUUUCCAUAAGAAGCCAAUUCCAUAAGAACACUGUCACAAGGAUACUACUGAGAGACAUACAGAGGACUUCCAGUGGAAUCUCUUCUCAACAUAAGAUCAAGAUUAGAGACAACUAACUGAAAGAGACCAUGGAUAUCAAUGGAUGGUUCCUUCAGUCUCUCAAAUGGUUCUGCAUGGCAGAAAAUGGUUUUUUUUUUACUUCCCUUGAGAAAUCAGUCUGAAAACUGUUGCAUAUGUAUUAAGUUUCCUAUUAAAAAACAAAAAGCAGCCCCUUACCUUCACCAUUUUCACUUACCCGUAAUAAUUCUUCUGGAAGGUCUCCACCUUCAUUAAUUCCACGGUUCAUAGAAAUAAACCUCUCUACUGUUGGCUUAUCUCUGACAUUGUGGUUGUGCAGGCUGGUAUUUAACAUGAUGAUUGCAAACGACAGCACAUAGCACGUAUCUGAAACCAGAUUGGAAAAAUGAGUUACUUUUCUAUGUCUACAGUAGAUGCUGUACAGGCUUGGUCCAUCAGACAUCAAUUCAAAGUGCCUCCAAAGUUUUACCACAGACACCCAGAGGAAGAACAGUCUCUUCAAAAUAAUACUCAAACUGCAUGUAAAUAAAACUGAAAAUAACAUUUGACUCAAUUUCUUGGCAUACAAAGGUGCCAAUAUCAAAGGAUAACAAAAGAGAUCUUAUCAUGCCUCUUGAUGUGGUUGUGACUGUAGAAAGCUCUCCCAGAAUUCGAACAAGAUCAUACAUAAGAAAACAGAGGAUGGAAAUCUCUCUGCUACAUUAAGAAAAGACGUGUUUGCAUCUUCUGUAUUUUGUUUUCAGUAAGGAUUUCCCUCUGUAGCUGUUGCUGAUCUUCUUCACAUUAACCUUUUCCUUGCCUACUUUCUUACCCUCGAAUCAGGUGAUCAGAAGGAAGCUCCACACACACAUAACUGAACAGACCAGCAGUGCUAAGACACUAUGCCAUUCUGUGCAGGAUGGGAGAGCUCUGUUGGCUUUUUAUGGCCUAAGUACUUCUAAAGGAUGUAAUUCAAUAGAAAACUGAGCUGCAUUUCUAACGGAGGGGAGUCACUUGAAGCAAUGAGACUGGCAGAAGUGUAUUUCACCUUAAUUUCCUGGAUUAAUUGUGGAUUUCCAUAAGCAACACUGCAUGCUUCACAAGGUAAAUAUGAAUAAAGUAGGAAGACACUGCUUGUACCAAAGUCUACCUCUGUGCAACUGCACAUAAACAGUAAUUCUGGCCUGCAGUGCUCUUGCACCCAUAGGAACAAGUGGAAGAAACGGAUGAAGAAGGGGACAGCAAAGAAAAUGAUCUGUUUGGCUGGGGCUUUGUUUCAACCCAUCUCUGUGCUGAGAUAUAAAACUGUCUUCAAAUGUUCACAUUUGGCAGGCACACCAAAAAGGCACAGCUACAAACAAUUGGAGGUGCUAAAACAGAACCGCCUCUGCUAAGCUGCCUAGUGAGGUACAGAGUCAUGCUGUGUUACAUCAGCUUUCUGACAAGUACAACACAGUGACUCCUAUGAAUGUGCAAUUGAAUGCAGGAAGAAAAACAGAAAGACUUUACUCACCGUAAGGCUUGUACAAGAUUGAGAUCAGCAAACUCAUGGAGUUCAACAAAAGCCUGAAGAACUUUAAUAUUAAAUUCAUCUCUGUGAAAGAGAAAAAUGGAAAUAAACAAUUACA